rnacentral:rRNA from 1 species
AGAGUUUGAUCCUGGCUCAGAAUCAACGCUGGCGGCGUGCCUAACACAUGCAAGUCGAACGAGAAAGUGGAGCAAUCCAUGAGUAAAGUGGCGCACGGGUGAGUAACACGUGACUAACCUACCCUUGAGUGGGGAAUAACUUCGGGAAACCGAGGCUAAUACCGCAUAACACCUACGGGUCAAAGGAGCAAUUCGCUUAAGGAGGGGGUCGCGGCAGGUUAGUUAGUUGGCGGGGUAAUGGCCCACCAAGACGGUGAUCUGUAUCCGGCCUGAGAGGGCGCACGGACACACUGGAACUGAAACACGGUCCAGACUCCUACGGGAGGCAGCAGUGGGGAAUUUUGCGCAAUGGGGGAAACCCUGACGCAGCAACGCCGCGUGGAGGAUGAAGUCCCUUGGGACGUAAACUCCUUUCGAUCGGGACGAUUAUGACGGUACCGGAAGAAGAAGCCCCGGCUAACUUCGUGCCAGCAGCCGCGGUAAUACGAGGGGGGCGAGCGUUGUUCGGAAUUAUUGGGCGUAAAGGGCGCGUAGGCGGUUGGAUAAGUCUUGUGUGAAAUCUUCGGGCUCAACUCGAAGUCUGCACGAGAAACUAUCUGGCUUGAGUGUGGGAGAGGUGAGUGGAAUUCCUGGUGUAGCGGUGAAAUGCGUAGAUAUCAGGAGGAACACCUGUGGCGAAAGCGGCUCACUGGACCACAACUGACGCUGAGGCGCGAAAGCUAGGGGAGCAAACAGGAUUAGAUACCCUAGUAGUCC